GGUGUGUGAGUGGGGAAUGAAAGAUUCCUUUGCAGGAAUAUAGAAGGCCAAGAGAGGGGGAGAAGAAAGAAGAAAGCAGAGAAUGGGUUAACUCAGCACUGCAGCUAGCAAGCUCAGUCCGAAAAUGAGACGCUGGCCCCCACCCAAGGACACUGCUCACAGCAGAGACUUGGCUGACAGCCAAAAAAGAUAGGGGCUUGAAUGUGCCCGAGCGGCCGUGGAAAAAAGAACUAAGUGAGACUCAGAGCUGCAAAAAUAACAGCGAGACUAGUGAAGGCUAAAACAAAAAAGAAAACAGUCUCCGGAGCCGGGAUGUUUUGGGAAAGGGAAAGAGACCACAGAAAGCGGUUUGAACUGGCACAAGGAGCACCAGGAACAGAGGUCGCAGAAUGAAACACCCCCAAAGGAGUCCAGGACUUAAAACCUUCCUAAGAGCUGGAGCAAUUCAGAGAUUACAGCGGAUCCCCCGGAUGACCUGGGCCCAGGGCAAGAACUCCUGUCCACCCCUUCCCCUCUUCUUCUUACGUUACACCCAGGCCUGGCCAGCUUUAGGUAGUGCAUGUCGCACACCCGAGAGCAACUUUUCAUAUUCCAGACAGAUGCCUCCUCCUUCAUGGUGUUAAAACACACAUUUAACCUGGAGAGAAAUGCCUUUGCCACAGCUGUCCUGAUGGGCCAUCUAUGUCAA